UGUAGGUGGCUCAUUAAGUCACAUGUGAAAUCCCCGGGCUUAACCUGGGAACUGCAUGUGAUACUGGUGGUGCUAGAAUAUGUGAGAGGGAAGUAGAAUUCCAGGUGUAGCGGUGAAAUGCGUAGAGAUCUGGAGGAAUACCGAUGGCGAAGGCAGCUUCCUGGCAUAAUAUUGACACUGAGAUUCGAAAGCGUGGGUAGCGAACA
rnacentral:rRNA from 1 species